UUGCCAAGGAUCUUUUUCAGCAUCAUUGGCUGGAACAUGCGGUUCGGUGAAGAAACCGCAUCAAGUGGUCCAAGUGAGGUUGAGCCAGGACGAGUUGGACCGUAGGUGGAGAUUAUCGUGAUCCGAGUCAACUAGCGUCGGAUACGACCCAGGCAACCGUUAGUUCCAAAGGUGUUAAUCGCGGAAAGUAUUGUUAAUUCCAUCCGCGUCUGCGCGAGGAGUGGAGGCUCUAUUCGGAUUCAUCUGCUCCAAUCCAAAGGUGUCAAUGGAUUCAUCUUCAUUUCCAUCUCAGUCUACCAUUUCCAGAAUUUCAGUUAGAGGAACUGUGGAAAACCCUCGAUGGGUUUUUCCCAAAUUCGUAAAAUUACAGCAAAAUUCAGAAAAACGCAGACUUUGGUCCAAAAACUUCUGUUUGACUGCUAACAGUGAUGGGUCUCGACGGGAAGUGCACGGUUUAGGCGACAGAGAUGGUGUGAUCAUUGUUGACCAUGGCUCCCGGCGCCAAGAAUCCAACCUCAUGCUAAAUGAGUUUGUAGCCAUGUUUAGAGAGAGAACUGGAUACCCAAUUGUGGAACCUGCUCAUAUGGAGUUGGCUGAGCCAUCAAUCAAGGAUGCAUUCAAUUUAUGUGUGCAACAAGGGGCACAUCGUGUAAUUGUUAGUCCUUAUUUUCUCUUCCCAGGGCGGCAUUGGUACGAGGAUAUCCCGGCCUUAACAGCUGAAGCUGCAAAGGAGCACUCAUGCAUCUCGUAUAUCGUAACUGCACCUCUUGGACUGCACGAGUUAAUUGUGGAUGUUGUGAAUGACAGAAUCAAGCACUGCUUGAGCCAUGUAGCAGGGGAUGCCGAUGAGUGUGCAUCUUGUUCUGGAACAGGCAGAUGUCGUCUCUUUUAGCUAUUCAUUAUUUGCUUGGCAUGCUCCAUUCACUUCAUCAUCAAGUUUGACUUAUGAGGUGGUCCAAUGUAACAGUUUCUGUUGCUUAUUGAAGAACUUGGCUGCAGCAAACACAUUUGAGGGUCUUUCCCACCCGCCGCUAAAGACACCAUAUGCUUCUUUUGGUUGAGGACGGAUAAGGAAUUCAAGCACUGGCAACUCUUCUCUAUCCACCCAAUGGAUGCAGUUUACAGGGCAUGAAUCAAGCGAUACCUGUCAUCGCUGCUUCCAUCAUCUUCCUUAUGAUAAUGUUAAUAUGAAAUCAUGGACAGUAGCAUGCAUACAUAUGCCAACUCUUACUUUCUUUACCUUUCUUAUCUGUUUAAGUUUUAUUGCCAUAGACAUCUGAGAGGGUAGUAAGCAAUAAUAUUGAAUUGGGGGAUCCAACUUCCUAUAUGGAAUCUAUGGACUAUGAGGUUUGUAAGUUCCUUCACCCUAAAUUUUUUACCUCAA